GUGGGGAAUAUUGGGCAAUGGGCGAAAGCCUGACCCAGCAACGCCGCGUGAAGGAAGAAGGUCUUCGGAUCGUAAACUUCUAUCCUUGGUGAAGAUAAUGACGGUAGCCGAGAAGGAAGCCCCGGCUAACUACGUGCCAGCAGCCGCGGUAAUACGUAGGGGGCAAGCGUUGUCCGGAAUGAUUGGGCGUAAAGGGCGCGUAGGCGGCCUGGUAAGUCUGGAGUGAAAGUCCUGCUUUUAAGGUGGGAAUUGCUUUGGAUACUGUCGGGCUUGAGUGCAGGAGAGGUAAGUGGAAUUCCCGGUGUAGCGGUGAAAUGCGUAGAGAUCGGGAGGAACACCAGUGGCGAAGGCGACUUACUGGACUGUAACUGACGCUGAGGCGCGAAAGUGUGGGGAGCAAACAGGAUUAGAAACCCCAGUAGUCC
rnacentral:rRNA from 1 species